UUGAGCAAAGCUUCAGGUGCGU
rnacentral:miRNA from 1 species